rnacentral:rRNA from 1 species
AACGAACGCUGGCGGCAUGCCUAACACAUGCAAGUCGAACGAGACCUUCGGGUCUAGUGGCGCACGGGUGCGUAACGCGUGGGAAUCUGCCCUUGGGUUCGGAAUAACAGUUAGAAAUGACUGCUAAUACCGAAUGAUGUCUUCGGACCAAAGAUUUAUCGCCCAGGGAUGAGCCCGCGUCGGAUUAGCUAGUUGGGGAGGUAAAGGCUCACCAAGGCGACGAUCCGUAGCUGGUCUGAGAGGAUGAUCAGCCACACUGGGACUGAGACACGGCCCAGACUCCUACGGGAGGCAGCAGUGGUGAAUAUUGGACAAUGGUCGAAAGCCUGAUCCAGCAGUGCCGCGUGAGAGAUGAAGGCCUUAGGGUUGUAAAGCGCUUUUACCCGGGAUGAUAAUGACAGUACCGGGAGAAUAAGCCCCGGCUAACUCCGUGCCAGCAGCCGCCGUAACAC